UACGGAGGAUCCAAGCGUUAUCCGGAAUCAUUGGGUUUAAAGGGUCCGUAGGCGGCCCUGUAAGUCAGUGGUGAAAUCUCACGGCUCAACCGUGAAAUUGCCAUUGAUACUGCAGGGCUUGAAUUAUCGGGAAGCAACUAGAACAUGUAGUGUAGCGGUGAAAUGCUUAGAGAUCGGGAAGAAUACCAGUGGCGAAGGCGUUCUGCUGGGCCGUUGCUGACACUGAGGCGCGACAGCGUGGGGAGCAAACAGG
rnacentral:rRNA from 1 species